rnacentral:lncRNA from 10 species
AGAUAUGAUCAGACAGUUUUAAGGAACUAUGCUGACUUUAUGAGGUCAAGGCUUACAAAAUCCUCUUGAAAAAAUUAGCCUGGUACCUGGCUUAUAGCAUGCUUAGCCUUACAGUGAGUAUAGAAGGUCACUUUCCGGUACUCUCAGGAACCAUAGGAUAUUUUGGAGACCUCAAGAAGAGAGGCAGUCAUUCAAUUCGGUUUUAAGCCCUGGAGACCCAGCUCUUCACUCUCACCUCAGAUCUGAGACGUGAUGCCACACCUUUUCCUCCGGCUGCCAUGACAAAAUACUACAGAUGGGGUAGCUUAAACACGUCGUCUGUGAGUGGGUGUUUCUCACGAUUCUGGAGGCUGCACAUCUGAGAUCAAGACGUCAGCUGCCUUGGUUUCCUCUGAAUCUUCUCCUCGGGCUGCAGAUGGACACUGUCUUGCUGCCUCUUCCUCUGGUCGUCUCUGUGCAUGCGUGCCCCCAGGGUCUCUGCGUGCCCUAAUCCCUGUUCUAAUAAGGCAUCGAUGCCUUUUAUCAGUUUAAGAGGUUACCUUCAAUACCAGGUUACUGAGGAUUU